rnacentral:rRNA from 1 species
CGAUUCCCCUAGUAACGGCGAGUGAAGAGGGAAAAGCCCAGCACCGAAGCCUGCGGCAGGUUUGCUGUUAGGCAAUGUGGUGUUUGGGUCGGCUCGUGGGACUACCACUCCACUCGAAGUCCAGCAUUGAGUAUGGUUACUGGAUUUGGCCCAGAGAGGGUGAAAGGCCCGUACGGGUGGAGUAUCAGACAUGUGAGGUGGUUCACCAGGUCGACCUUAGAGUCGGGUUGUUUGGGAAUGCAGCCCAAAGUGGGUGGUAAACUCCAUCCAAGGCUAAAUACAAGCACGAGUCCGAUAGCGAACAAGUACCGUGAGGGAAAGUUGAAAAGUACUCUGAAGAGAGAGUAAACAGUACGUGAAACCGCAUGCAGGUAAACGGGUGGCGUCAAGCUGCAAGCCCGGAGAAUUCAGUCGGCUAGGUUGUUGUGUAUGCGCCUGGCGCAUCCAUCAGUCAGAGUAUGAUUGGGUAGUCCACUAGUAAAUAGUGGGCCUGUCCGCAAGGGCAGGAUAUGUGUACCGGGUGGGUGCCGGAGCAUGCUAUCCGUCUGAGGACUGUCUAGUCGGUGCACUUUCUCCGUGGUCGACACCACGACCAGUGGUAUUGCCAGUCUGUUGUGUCCAAGUCGCAUUUGGUAGGUCCUUGUGGUCAACCGAGUGCGAUCACAGGCAAACUCAGUAAACGGCGUGAGGGUGUUUCGGCACUCUCAUGUGUUAUCGGCUACUGGUUGUCAACGGGCCUGCUCUGUGUUUGUUGUAACCGACACGGGGUGGUCCGGUGGGGCACAAUGGUAAGAAUAACUGUGCAAGGCACUGGGGUUAUCGGCCUCAAAUGCGUCCUGCGUCCACGUUACAAGUGUAGGUACUGUGUCGCUGCUGCCUGCUCGGUGCUGGGUGUGAUUGGCGUGUCGCCUGCGCAAAGUAGGCCCGCCAAUGGCUCGGUUCGAGGUGGGUAGUUGGUGGCGUUGUCGACGGCGUAGGGCGUGGUGGGCCUAAUAGUCAGUGGUGUAGUGG